rnacentral:rRNA from 1 species
AGUGAACGCUGGCGGCGUGCCUAAUACAUGAAAGUCGAACGAAGUGGCGCACGGGUGAGUAAUAUAUAGUUAAUCUGCCCUACACAGAGGAACAACAGUUGGCAACGACUGCUAAUACCUAAUAGUGUAGGAGGAAACUAUAUCGUAUCAGCUAGUUGGUAAAGUAAUGGCUUACCAAGGCUAUGACGCGUAACUGGUCUGAGAGGAUGAUCAGACACAUUGUAACUGAGACACGGUUCAGACUCCUACGGCAGGUAGCAGUAAGGAAUAUUGCCCCAUGGGGGAAACCCUGACGCAGCAACGCCGCGUGGAGGAUGACACUUUUCGGAGCGUAAACUCCUUUUAUCAGGAAAGCGGUACCUGAUGAAUAAGCACCGGCUAACACCGUGCCAGCAGCCGCGGUAAUAC